ACAGUGAUGGAAAGAUGAAAAGAACUUUGAAAAGAGAGUGAAAAAGUACGUGAAAUUGUUGAAAGGGAAGGGCAUUUGAUCAGACAUGGCGUUUGCUUCGGCUUUCGCUGGGCCAGCAUCAGUUUUAGCGGUUGGAUAAAUCCUCGGGAAUGUGGCUCUGCUUCGGUAGAGUGUUAUAGCCCGUGGGAAUACAGCCAGCUGGGACUGAGGAUUGCGAUUUCAAGGAUGCUGGCGUAAUGGUUAAAUGCCG
rnacentral:rRNA from 1 species